rnacentral:rRNA from 1 species
UGGGGAAUUUUGGACAAUGGGGGAAACCCUGAUCCAGCCAUCCCGCGUGUGCGAUGAAGGCCUUCGGGUUGUAAAGCACUUUUGGCAGGAAAGAAACGUCAUGGGUUAAUACCCCGUGAAACUGACGGUACCUGCAGAAUAAGCACCGGCUAACUACGUGCCAGCAGCCGCGGUAAUACGUAGGGUGCAAGCGUUAAUCGGAAUUACUGGGCGUAAAGCGUGCGCAGGCGGUUCGGAAAGAAAGAUGUGAAAUCCCAGAGCUCAACUUUGGAACUGCAUUUUUAACUACCGGGCUAGAGUGUGUCAGAGUGAGGUGGAAUUCCGCGUGUAGCAGUGAAAUGCGUAGCUAUGCGGAGGAACACCGAUGGCGAAGGCAGCCUCCUGGGAUAACACUGACGCUCAUGCACGAAAGCGUGGGGAGCAAACAGG